CUCACGCGCACGCCGCCGGGUGAUCGCAGACAGGCAGGACUUAGAGGGAAAUAACUAGAUAAAAGGGAAGUCUGAAAUGAAUGAAUUCUGAAAAUGAAAUGUUUGGAAUGGACCAAUCCAUAGAAACAGAAACAGGUCCGAACAUAUAAUAGGAGGGACGGAAGAAAGAGGAUAUGGUUCUGACCUUGGUGCAACGGAAAUAUGAUUGAAGACAGUGAGAAGGUUUACCUCCAGGAAAAGUAUUUUCUAAAGCAGGUCCACUUCAAGCACAGAUGGCCUGGAUGUAAUACUUAUGUGAUAGUAAAACAUUGCUCGAAGCAGCCAAGUGGAAGAGUGGCUGCCAUGGAGAAUCAAAGUUCGAAUACACUACUUGCUAAAGUCAUGGCAGAUGCAGAAUACGAAUCCUCAAAUUUGUGGCCAUUCCAGUGGAUGAAAUAAUCAUUGUUUUGAUCAAGAAUUCUUUGUCACUGUGAUACUUGUGACAUAUUUAUCAGCAUUCACAGUUAAAAAGCUUACAUAUGUUUUCCCCCAUCCAUGUAAUCUAAUCAAAGGUGCCAACCCUGGAACUGCGCCAACACAAAGCUUCGCUGUGACUCGGGUACAGCCUGCACAGUCCAUCUAGAGUUGUUGAUCUGCUUGAUGUCACAUGACAGAUCCUACUGCUCUGAAAGAUGAAAGGAUGUUCAAGCCACGUGUCUGCAGAUGACAGUUUUCUUUAUGAUAAACCACAGAGUCACAGCUUGUUAAAUAAGCCUGUGACGAUGACAAAAGACAAGGCCAUCAGUCUGGAGCAGAAUAUGGCCUAACUGCCCAUGACAAACCACACUAUUAUUUCCUACACACACUGACAUCUCAUAAAGCAUUCCCACAAGUGGUAGCCAGAAAUAGUUUCUGAAGACAGCCCCACAAGAGAGUAAUAGCUUGCUGCUUAUCUUUGAACAAAUGAGUGGAAAAAAAUCUGGAGUGUGCAAUGUAGUUCUCUUACCCUAAGAGAUAAAAUUGACUUUUUACCUAGGACAUUUUGUAUGAU